rfam:Oryza sativa Japonica Group DNA, chromosome 3, cultivar: Nipponbare, complete sequence.
AAAAAGGCAAACCCUGGGUUUCCGUGUCCAACUUUGACUGUCCGCCUUAUAUGAAAUUUUUUUAUAAUUUGUAUUUUCAUUGUUGUUAGAUGAUAAAACAUGAUUAAUAUUUUAUGCGUGACUUGUCUUUUUAAUCUUUUUCAAAAAAAUUUCAAAUAAGACGGACGAUCAAACAUUGGGCACGGAAACCAGGGUUUGUCUUUUU